AUUUCCAUGAUGAUGGUGCACUCCAUGUAAAUUUCCGCCACAUGGGUCAUGUACAUUCAACUUCAUCUGGAUCUAUGGAUGCAUUCCCAGCAUCUGGCCUACG